GGAUACUAAUACAGUAUAUUUCUCACCAGACAACGAACUGGUUCUCCUGACCCAACAUAUAAAGCGAGUGGAUGCGACAUGCCUUCGAGAUUCUGACAUGAGAGUGUAUCAUAUUCACACAUCACUGCCUCAACUGAUGUUUCAGACCGAGUUGAAGAUACAGUUGAAGAUUUUUAUAGUGAAGAACAUAGUUGUUUUUAUCUUCAAGAGUGCAGAAUCUCCAGUAGAUGGUAUAGCAGCAUGAUGUUUGUCUUGAGGUCUGCUUCCAUCAAUGUUAGAGGAUGACGGAUGUGUAUAAUCGUGAUCAGAUGAUGUCACUUCAGAAGCAGAUGGUCCAGCAUAGUCAUGUUCUUGCGGUGCAAUAGUUCUGGAAGAUGAUGCAUGUGUAGAAUGGGUAUGCUCUGAGAUCUACACUCGACACGAUUAAACGGAUACUUGGCUGUGUUGUUCUUUAACAUCUCUGAGUGGGCAAUAAUGACAGCUGGAUUCACCUUAACUUUCCUAGCAAAAUCAUACAAGUUAAAUGUUCCAUGGUUAAUCGUUUCAACACAUAAACCCAUGAAACAUGGUUUACCGCCAAACAAAAGAACUAUUCCAUGGACUCCAUCUUAGAUCCUCGUCAAGAAGAAAAGAACUCUCAGACCGAUUUAAUUGUCCAACCAUUUUCAAAAAUAAACAAUGUUUUGAAUGCAACCUGUGUUCUUUCAUUGGGUUAUCUUGCUUUGUCCAUUUAUUCAGUCUUAGGGAACACGAAAAACACUGCACAAUAUCUCCUCUACCUGUAUAGUAAAAGCCAGCCGAUGACAGUUGGUACUUGUCUGGUUGCAUUUGUUCAGGCCAGGAUUCGAACGUUUCUAGUCUAUUUUCAUAAAAUUUUAGUUCUGGCGAUUGAAACUUUAGUUCUAUACAAUCCAUUAUGACUGUCCUGCUAGAAAUGAAGCUAAUAGCAAUACGCUUUCCUUUAUAUCACACAAAGAUUCGAACUGCUUUAUGUUUAAAGACAGCCGAGAUUUUCCUUUUCCUAAAAUAACUACUGUAUUAUUUCGCUUUCUCUUAACAACAAGAUAAUGUUUAUCAUCCAAUGUACAAAAGACUGAUUUUGAUAAUGGACACCACUUCACCAUUUCAAAGCCACACUCCCUUAAAUAAGCCGACGAAUCUUCUGUAAAUAGCAGCUGCGCUUGUGCCAUAUUUAAAAAUCUGUUUUAAAAAUAACAGUGACUUUAUUCCUCUUCGGUCUGUGUAAUGUAGUCCCUUAUUUCUGCCGCUAUAGUUUGAUAAAUAUAAUGAUCCCUAAGUAUUCUUACAAGCAAUGAAUGAUAUCUUAGUAAAAGAUUCUUUUUCCUUCGUCUGUUAGCUUGGCGGGAAGCUAAAGUCCUGAUGAGUUGUCUGUAGUAUUCGAAUAUAAGGAAGUCUCGGUAUAAGAUGAUAACAGAUUGUUUGUAUAGUCUUCUCACAAUUUCACCAAUGGUAUCUAUUUGUCUCGAACUUAAAUUUUGAAUUAACUGACGUUGAGUUUGUCGAUUAGAAUGUCCUAAGGUUGUUAAAUAGUUUAAUUCUUGAAACACUAUGGAUCAGUUCGUGGUAUGUUACUCCCUAACUAUAAAUUAUACUGAUGGUAUUCGUUCCACCAACAGUGUCUACAAUGAAUGCACUCCCAACCUGUAUCAAGCUGUGGGUGUCCUUGUCUGAAGUAUGAUCUAGUGAUUAUACGAUGUACUGUUUUCAGAGAACAAGUACAACAGUAUUUACAAGAAAGUAAAGUUUUAUUACAAAAGUUUAUUUCAAAAGUCAUAAGCACAUUUAUGACUUUUCCUAUACAAGUUACAAAAACAUAGUAGAGAAUUACUGUCUAGGUAUAAAAUCUUCAAAGUCACUAACUUGAUAUUCCGUUAUUGUAUGUGUAAAACAACAAAGAUCAUCCCACCAAUGGCGUAGCAUUGUAUAUCUGCGGGCUACCGCAUUAAACCCUGAUGGAUAAUGCCUGAGUAGGCCGAUCAUAUAAUGUCGUGUCCAUCGAACAUUAUAGUCAAUGUCCUGUACUUCAUCAUCCACCCAAGGAUACAAUUCAUAAUCAUUCAUCCAAAAGGAUUCAAAAUUGGUGACUUCAUCAUGUGUUCUCAAAUCCAUUUUUUGUAAAAGUUAAGGAAAAAAUAUUUCUCUUGUAAAAUUUUGUCUAGAGUACUAGUAUUUUAGUAUUCAUAACGAAAAAGUUCACUUCCAAAAUCGUCUUCUAGUUCCCCAUCGAUUAAACUAUCGUAGUUUAAAAAUAAUGUCUCACAGUUCCAAUAAGGUACAAUAUAUCUAAACAUAAAUUCAAUCUGAUUCCAACGUUCUAAAAGGGGUGAAUUAUUAACGUUUAAGUUUUCAGUCAACCAGUUUAAAGCGGAAUAAACCACGACAUUCAUAUGUCUCAAUGGUCGAUUAAUUAGAUUGGAAACCAAAGUGGCUUCAUGAUCCAUAAAAUUUGUAACUGACAUUUUUCGCCAUAAUGAUUUUUAAAUCUGUUAAAACCGGGUUUAAACACUCGCUAGAGUAAAAGGUUUAUUGUAAUAGCGCGUCUACCUUUCACCCAUAACGUUUUAUCAGUUUAAACAUCUCGCAGUAAAGACAAGUUGUAUGCUCAAAUUGAAUUAUUUAAAAAUGAUCGCUGCGACUUUUCAAAAUUUUAAAUUGUCCGCCAAAAUCUAUGGAAGCAAAUGAGCGCUAACAUUGCGCGGAAACCAGCGUGACCGUCUCUAAUAAUCCACCUUAAUCCACCAAACAAGAUCGCCGCCGCCUAUAUAAACUAUAUGUAAUCCACCAUCCAAGAUGGCCACCGCCUAUAUAAACUAUAUGUAAUCCACCAUCCAAGAUGGCCGCUGUCUAUAUAAACUAUAUGUAAUCCACCAUCCAAGAUGGCCGCUGUCUAUAUAAACUAUAUGUAAUCCACCAUCCAAGAUGUCCGCGAAAAUCCCCUUUUCCCUCUACUCC